GUGGGGAAUAUUGCACAAUGGGCGAAAGCCUGAUGCAGCAACGCCGCGUGAAGGAUGAAGGCCUUUGGGUCGUAAACUUCUGUCCUUGGGGAAGAAAAAAAUGACGGUACCCCUGGAGGAAGUCCCGGCUAACUACGUGCCAGCAGCCGCGGUAAUACGUAGGGGGCGAGCGUUAUCCGGAAUUAUUGGGCGUAAAGAGUACGUAGGUGGUUUUUUAAGCGCAGGGUUUAAGGCGAUGGCUCAACUGUCGUUCGCCCUGUGAACUGGAAGACUUGAGUACAGGAGAGGAAAGCGGAAUUCCUAGUGUAGCGGUGAAAUGCAUAGAUAUUAGGAGGAACACCAGUGGCGAAGGCGGCUUUCUGGACUGUAACUGACACUGAGGUACGAAAGCGUGGGGAGCAAACAGGAUUAGAAACCCGAGUAGUCC
rnacentral:rRNA from 1 species